GAGAAAUUCCGACCAUCUCAGCCGAAAUGAAAAUAAAAACUAUGCGCCCGCCUCCCUCUCCUUCCAUGUGUUUUUUGUUUUUUCCUUUCCAUGUUUUCCCAAGAUUUUUUUAAAAAAAAAAAAUUAUUUAUUUAUUUACGCCGAACGAUAACUCCCCUACUUUCGUCGUCUUCAUUCUUUCCGUCGCAGUACCCUCACCUUACUCAAAAACUAGACUUCAAAAUAAGCAGACAGGCCUGCAAACGACCACACGCAUGGUCAUGGCCUCGGCAAUCUGCGCUCCCACGUUUUUAUCAUCACCCGUCUCUUCUACAAAAUCAGCUAUUUACACCACAUCUUCUUCUCUAACGUCACACUCUAAAACCCCAAAACUUCAUCUCCCCAAGCGGUUCCUCCACUGGGCCCCAGUCUUUUCUCUCCAUGGAGUGGUUUGAAGCAUCUGGACCAAACCGCAUUCGACCUCUACGUCGUUUGCCUGAUUGAUCAGAUCGGGGCCGUUCAUCCGUGCCAAUUUGUUUAGGGCUGUCGAACUUCAUCAACCUGACGGAGGUCCGACCCCACAAUCCGACGGCCGACAACUCCUCCAUCCCGCAGCGGCAUCGCCACCGUCAUGCACCUGCAGCAGCUCCACUCAAACAAUCCAUUGCUUCGCCCGUCUCCGUCGACACCGCCUCUGUCUCUCAUAGGUAACAGGUUACCAUUCAAUCUCAUCCUGAAUUUUCUGUUUGUUUCUCGGGAAAAUGGAAAAAAGAAAGGAUAAAUGUAAAUUCGCAGAUUUUAAUUUCUUAAGAAUUUUUUUAAAUCUAUGCUUGUUCUACCGUUUCUUGCCUUCACUUUUCUUUAAUUCCGAAUUUUUUUGGAUCAAUAUUUAUCUCACGAGACCUGAAGCUGUAAAAGUCGGUAACUUUUACAGAGCUGAAAAGUACUUGGCUUUGUCUAUUAUAAUGAAUAAAACUACUUGAUUUGGAGGUCUUCUAGCUGUUGUGCUGCCGGCAGGCGACGAAAGGUUGAAGGAACUGGAGUUUUUGGACUGGCGAUUUGAAGGGACCAAAAUCACGUUGGUGGGUUUUAUCGGACGGCUUUGCUUUCUGUUGUGGAAAACAGAGAAGAGAUUUUGGUAGGAAGAGACGGAAUGGGUCUCUGUUUUCGGUGGGGCUGAGUGCAGCUUUUACUUCCAUGUGAUAGAAAUGAUGCCUAGUUUCUUCAAUAAACAUAACUCAGAAAUAGACAGAUUCGCUGAGAACAACUCAUCUCAGUUCUAAAAAACAAAAGAAAAGGAAGCAUUCGCUGAGAACAACUCAUUUCAGUUUGUAAAACACGUUUGGAUGUAAGAUGGUUCGACCGUACGAGAACGCUUCAGAUUUCUAUGUUUCACUUCACUGUCCAAACAACGCGUCUCAGUCCAUUUCCUAUUUUUAUUUCCCUAUCUAUUUUCUUUAGUAUUUUUUUUUUUCAUUUUUUUUCAUAAAGACUCAUGCCAUUCCAUGCCAUGCCGCCAUGGGGUCAUUCUUGUUAAGGUAAUGAUACCUGAGACUACCCGUUUGCUACUGAGGGUUUUUUUUUUUUAUCCUACGCAGUACGCCCAGACUUCCACCUGCUAUCGUUUUCUCUGCUCAUAUGUUUUGACUGAGGAGACAGUCAGAGCCCUAUGAAAUUUCAAGCUCUUCUGUUUUCAUUUUAAAUUUCAAAGCUGAAAUCUUAGACCCUUUCCUUUCAUUUUCCUUUCAGUUUGUUCUCGAAUCUCAGACCUAACAUUUUUGUUCUCGAUUUGAAUAAAGAGGCUUCAUAUUUCAGAGGAACAAAAAGCUUCUGACAAAGCAGACAGUCAAAUCUCUGAUAUAUGAGCAAAACCAGCAAUAGUAAGUAGAAGGCAGGGACAUAGAAUAAGAAAAGUAAAAAAAAAAAAAAAUGUGGGUAGUAAACGAGUAGUCUUGAGUGGUAAGGUAUCAUUACCCUUCUUCUUAUCCUUUCCAAGCAAGUUUAGAUCACAUGUUCUCUCUGUUAGUAUGGGUUUCUCUCCCUCCCUCACAUUUCCCUUAGCCACGGCCUCACCACGAGCACGCGGGCACCACCCACCGUGAGCAGCAGCCACUGCAAGACACCUACAUAGAAACUCCCUCUCUCAUUCUCGGCUUCUCCCUCUCUCCCUCAUUAUCUACUGUACAGCCACUAUCUUCAACCUAGGUUCGCUGCCGCCCAUGGACCCAUCAUUGAUGGAAACUCAGCCUAGCAGCCCCUGGAAGCUCCUUUGUGCGCCACCUGCUCAGAGACACAAUAGCACGACCAGGAACCAGCCACAGUGACUGCAUUGCCGUGAGAUCCAGCUGUUGGCUCCACUCCUCCACUGCAGACAACCACAGGCAGUGCUGACAACCACCACCGUCAGCUACUCCACAGACCCCUGUAAGCACCACCAGCUGCCGGUGUCACCCCACACCCAACCAAGGGGACAUUUAAGCACCGUGAAGCUUAGCCCCUUUUUCCCUCCCUGCCACCCACGGCCAAACCAUCUGACAGCAAGUCUCCACCGUAGCCCCUCAACCACCGCUUUUGGCACCACCGGAUGCCACCCCAAACCUCCACCUCACGUCGGAAGCUAGCUACUCAAACAGCCUUCUCGACAAGCCGCAGCACGUCCAGCAAGUUCUGUUUUUCAUCAACUGAAACAGAGCAAGUCUUCUUGCUCCUCAGCCCAGUUCCGCCCUACACGACCGUCCAUCACCAGUAAAACCACCGUAAGCACCUCUCUUCUUCCUCUACUCAAUUUCUGUCCAAGAAAACUGAUAAUCGACAGCAUUUUAUGUUCCCCGGUUAUUACACACAUUUUUUAAUUUUGAUUACGUAUACUGAAGUGUGAAAUCAAGAUGGUAUAUGCUGGUGUUUUGGUGGUUGGGCAGAGAAAGAUCAUGGCUUUAAAUAUAUGGAAUCAUGUAAUUAUGUUGGCCGGGUUGUAUAUUUGGUUGAUGGUGUUAUAGUUGAUGGCUUGGACAUACGAAAGUUAUGAUAUAUGGUGGGGAUUUUGUGGAGCCAUGAAUGAAGCUUAUAAAGCUUUAUAAUUGUGUUGUGAUUGGUGUAUAAAUGAUAUGGACAGAUUUUAUAUAUUGAAUGUGUUGGUUACAACAAACUAUGAGGAAGUGAGGUAUUGAUUGGGAACU